GCAGGUAUUAGUGUAUAUGUGCGGUCUGUUGCGAGUGACUCUUCGGGGGUGCUGUGAGGGGAACUCAGGCAAGCUCAGGACUCCAGACAUGGCUACAUUUUGGAAGAUCAUUCUACUGAAGAAUAUUUUAAAACUUCUGGAAGACAUGAAAGAGACUCGCUUCCAGAACAAUUUCAGAAAGUGUUGCAGGCUCAAACUGGACUCAGUUCAUCAGCCUUUCAGACAGAACUUCAGUCCAACCCUGAGACUUCAAAGCAUGCAGAGACUGGAAAACAAAUGGAGGUAGUGACCUAUGAUGAUGUGCAUGUGAACUUCACUCAGGAAGAGUGGACAUGGCUGGAUCCUUCUCAGAAGAGUCUCUACCAACAUGUGAUGCUAGAGACCUGUAGGAAUCUUACUGCUACAGGCUACAUUUGGAAAGAACAAACUACUGAAGAAUAUUUUAAAAGUUCUAGAAGACAUGGAAGGCAUGAAAGAAGUUUUACUGGAAAGCAACCCUCUGAUUUUUUUCAAUAUGGUAAACCCUUUGCACACCAGAGUCAUACCAAAAGGUAUGAAAUAACAGAAAAUGGAGAGAAAUCCUAUGAAUGUAACCAAUGUGGAAAAGCUUUAUCACAAAAAUGUAGUCUCAAAAUACAUAAAAGAACACAUACAGGAGAAAAACCCUAUAAAUGUAAGCAAUGUGUUAAAGCCUUUGCACAAAUUGGUGAUCUCCAAAAACAUAAA
rnacentral:lncRNA from 1 species